GAAGCGAAGAUUUAAAAACUAACUAUCAACUCCUCUCUCAUACUUUUUUCCUAUAUUUUCUGGCUUAAACAAGGAUGAAGUGUUCUGAGUAAUUAAACACUGUGUUUAUAAAGUCUCAGACAAAUAAACUUUCAUUACAAUAAGCUUGUUUCAAAAAGCUUCUCGUGUUUUCUACCAAUUAGAUUAAGAUGAAAAAAAAGAUUAGAAUGCUUAAGAAAUGGUUCUCAAAAAUAGACAAUGGUGAAUACACCUGCUGUUUGCUUACUUCUUGCCAGAUGCUACAAAAGGCCUGUUAGAAAGUGGGGGAAAAUUGCUGGUCUCACAAAGAUCAUUUCAGCUCUAUCCGGGCCCACUGGACAGCUAACACCAGCAGAAUCAUUUUGGACCAAGAGGGUCAGCAAGAUGGAAUUGAUCCCAUCUAAGGGAGAAAAAAUUCAUCCUCUGUUGAUCCCUAGUACGGGAUGGUAGUGAUUGAG
rnacentral:lncRNA from 1 species